AUUGAACGCUGGCGGCAGGCCUAACACAUGCCAGUCGAGCGGAUGAAGGGAGCUUGCUCCUGGAUUCAGCGGCGGACGGGUGAGUAAUGCCUAGGAAUCUGCCUGGUAGUGGGGGAUAACGUCCGGAAACGGGCGCUAAUACCGCAUACGUCCUGAGGGAGAAAGUGGGGGAUCUUCGGACCUCACGCUAUCAGAUGAGCCUAGGUCGGAUUAGCUAGUUGGUGGGGUAAAGGCCUACCAAGGCGACGAUCCGUAACUGGUCUGAGAGGAUGAUCAGUCACACUGGAACUGAGACACGGUCCAGAGUCCUAAGGGAGGCAGCAGUGGGGAAUAUUGGACAAUGGGCGAAAGCCUGAUCCAGCCAUGCCGCGUGUGUGAAGAAGGUCUUCGGAUUGUAAAGCACUUUAAGUGGGGAGGAAGGGCAGUAAGUUAAUACCUUGCUGUUUUGACGUUACCAACAGAAUAAGCACCGGCUAACUUCGUG
rnacentral:rRNA from 1 species